GCGCGAGUGGUGGAACGGCAGACACGCGAGGUUUAGGUCCUCGUGCCCUGCGGGGCGUGCGGGUUCGAGUCCCGCCUCGCGCA
rnacentral:tRNA from 1 species